CGGCAGGCUUACACAUGCAAGUCGAACGGUAACAUAAAGAAGCUUGCUUCUUUGAUGACGAGUGGCGGACGGGUGAGUAAUGCUUGGGAAUCUAGCUUAUGGAGGGGGAUAACUACGGGAAACUGUAGCUAAUACCGCGUAAUAUCGAAAGAUUAAAGUGUGGGACCUUCGGGCCACAUGCCAUAGGAUGAGCCCAAGUGGGAUUAGGUAGUUGGUGAGGUAAAGGCUCACCAAGCCGACGAUCUCUAGCUGGUCUGAGAGGAUGACCAGCCACACUGGGACUGAGACACGGCCCAGACUCCUACGGGAGGCAGCAGUGGGGAAUAUUGCACAAUGGGGGCAACCCUGACGCAGCCAUGCCGCGUGAAUGAAGAAGGCCUUCGGGUUGUAAAGUUCUUUCGGUAGCGAGGAAGGCAUUUAGUUUAAUAGACUAGGUGAUUGACGUUAACUACAGAAGAAGCGCCGGCUAACUCCGUGCCAGCAGCCGCGGUAAU
rnacentral:rRNA from 1 species